rnacentral:tRNA from 1 species
GCCCGCUUGGCUAAGCGGUAUAGCGUGUCACUAGUAUUCUACUUGACAUGACAAGGUGAUCAGUUCGACUCUGAUAGUGGGCA